rnacentral:rRNA from 1 species
AUUGAACGCUGGCGGCAGGCUCAACACAUGCAAGUCGAGCGGGGGAAGGUAGCUUGCUACCGGACCUAGCGGCGGACGGGUGAGCAAUGGUUAGGAAUCUGCCUAUUAGUGGGCGACAACAUCACGAAAGGGAUGCUAAUCCCGCAUAAGACCUACGGGCGCAAGCAGGGGAUCCUCGGACCUUGCGCUAAUAGAUGAGCCUAAGUCGGAUUAGCAAGUUGGUGGGGUAAAGGCCUACCAAGGCGACGAUCUGUAGCGGGUCUGAGAGGAUGAUCCGCCACACUGGGACUGAGACACGACCCAGACUCCUACGGGAGGCAGCAGUGGGGAAUAUUGGACAAUGGGGGGAACCCUGAUCCAGCCAUGCCGCGUGUGUGAAGAAGGCCUUAUGGUUGUAAAGCACUUUAAGCGAGGAGGAGGCUACUUUAGUUAAUACCUAGAGAUAGUGGACGUUACUCGCAGAAUAAGCACCGGCUAACUCUGUGCCAGCAGCCGCGGUAA